rnacentral:rRNA from 1 species
UACGUAGGGGGCGAGCGUUAAUCGGAAUUACUGGGCGUAAAGCGUGCGCAGGCGGUUCGUUGUGUCCGAUGUGAAAGCCCCGGGCUCAACCUGGGAAUGGCAUUGGAAACUGGCGAGCUAGAGUGUGGCAGAGGGGGGUGGAAUUCCGCGUGUAGCAGUGAAAUGCGUAGAGAUGCGGAGGAACACCGAUGGCGAAGGCAGCCCCCUGGGCUGACACUGACGCUCAGGCACGAAAGCGUGGGGAGCAAACAGG